rnacentral:rRNA from 1 species
GAUGAACGCUAGCUACAGGCUUAACACAUGCAAGUCGAGGGGAAACGACAUUGAAGCUUGCUUCGAUGGUCGUCGACCGGCGCACGGGUGAGUAACGCGUAUCCAACCUGCCUCUGACCAAGGGAUAACCCGUCGAAAGUCGGCCUAAUACCGUAUGCAGUCGUCGGAAGUCAUCUGAUGACGACGAAAGAUUUCAUCGGUGAGAGAUGGGGAUGCGUCUGAUUGGCUUGUUGGCGGGGUAACGGCCCACCAAGGCAACGAUCAGUAGGGGUUCUGAGAGGAAGGUCCCCCACAUUGGAACUGAGACACGGUCCAAACUCCUACGGCAGGCAGCAGUGAGGAAUAUUGGUCAAUGGGCGAGAGCCUGAACCAGCCAAGUAGCGUGCAGGAUGACGGCCCUAUGGGUUGUAAACUGCUUUUAUGCGGGGAUAAAGUGAGGGACGUGUCCUUCAUUGCAGGUACCGCAUGAAUAAGGACCGGCUAAUUCCGUG